rnacentral:rRNA from 1 species
AUGCUUCAGCUGCCGCAGGAUCGACGACGAGGGCUCUCCACCAUUGCCCUUCUCACGGCCUGGUCAAUCCGGCGUCAUCGCAACUCUAUCAUCUUCGACAAGGCCACGCCCUCUUCUGCCUCCCUUCUGGCCACGAUCCAAGACGAAGCCCGCUCCUGGGCCUAUGCCGGAGCGAAAGGACUUAGUGCUAUUAUCCCUGUAGGCUAG